GUGGUCUAUUUAUGUACAACGUACCUUAUAAUAAGCGUUUUUUGUGUUUUCAGUGAGCGUUUAAGCGCUGAAAGCAAUCAAAUAAGUGAAGCGUUUUGGAGCUGUUCUUAGUAUGACAAGCCUCCAAAUACUGUCAAAAAUAUAAUAUUUUGCAUUGCCAGAUCACAAACACCUCUUGCCUUAAAAAUAGGAAAAUUUUCAUAUUUUGGCAAUGAUACAUUAACUGCUCUUACAAAAACUAGUAUGGGAUACUUAUCAGUUUUGAGACAUUUUUUGAUGACUGAGUGAAGAAUGGUUUACUUCUUGGCUUAAUAUUUUAUCGUCGAUAUGUUGUAAAAAGAAUAAUUAUUUU